GGAGGGGUUCCCGAGCGGUCAAAGGGAUCAGACUGUAAAUCUGACGGCUUACGCCUUCGCAGGUUCGAAUCCUGCCCCUCCA
rnacentral:tRNA from 1 species